rnacentral:tRNA from 1 species
GAUUUAAUAAUAUAGAUUUUAAUUUAUAAAUGUUUUGAAAGCAUUUUUAAAGGUUCAUAUACCUUUAAAGUCA